UACAGAGGGUGCAAGCGUUGUUCGGAAUUAUUGGGCGUAAAGGGCGCGUAGGCGGUGCGGUAAGUCUGUAGUGAAAUCUCUGGGCUCAACUCAGAGUCUGCUAUAGAAACUGCCGUGCUUGAGUGUGGGAGAGGUGAGUGGAAUUCCCGGUGUAGCAGUGAAAUGCGUAGAUAUCGGGAGGAACACCUGUGGCGAAAGCGGCUCACUGGACCACAACUGACGCUGAGGCGCGAAAGCUAGGGGAGCAAACAGG
rnacentral:rRNA from 1 species